GUGGACAGAGUUAACCGGAGAGGAAAAAGGGAACACGAAACCACCGUGGCUGCAAUGGCGUCGCCCGCUCCCGCGAAGCCCGUCGCUCUCCGGCGGCCGCCGGUCCCAAUCCGCGGCGGGUUCUGCCCGGCGCGUCCGUCCAUGGCUGCGGCGGCAGGCCGGUUCAGAGUCUCGGCCUCCGCUUCCGCGUCGGACGUGCCCGACUUCCUCUCCUCCGACUGGCUUGAAACACGCAAGAAGAAGCCUUUUGGCCCCAGGUUGAAUUAUAAUGCAGAAGAAGCAGUGGAAUACCAACUUGAGGCCUUGAAAUACAAUGACAAACCCCGCCCGGAUUAUGGGGUAGAGGUCAUGUACCGGUUUGCAGGCUUUGAUCCAUUUGAAAGGUCAACUUAUUUUGGACGACAGUUUGAUCUUGGGCAGUUCGAACGUUUCCGGCGGAUAUUUCACCAUUCGACUUACAGAGUGCUGCUUGGCCACAAAGAAAGAGAGAUAUUAAGCAGACUAUGGGUCGAAGAGAACCAGUUUAAGCAGAGAGUCUGGGUCCGAGGAGCUCGCCCGGAGGAAGAGGAAAUAUUCCAGUUUACAAUGGUUCAGAGAGUUGGUGGCUCAUGGGAUGGUUACUGGCUAACCGAGAGCUUGACCAACAACGACGGGGACGCAUUCUCAGGCGGGGUUGCUUAUUGACAGGCAUGUACAUAUAACACUCAGCUGCCAUCAUAUUAAUCGAUGUACAUCCGAAGUCCAGUUACAUAUACCUAGGAAACUAGCAGCGUAACUAUGAGCUGAUGGUCCAGAUAUAGUCGUCGCUGCGACGCUGUCCACGUAUAUGUCACGGCACACACAGAAAAGAACUUGUGGUAGAAUUGGUCUGGUGUGUUCCCCGUUCUGCUAUUCUCUAAAGCAUGUCAUCAUGUCAACCAUACCACCAGAUCUAGCUACACAAGACAAUCACUUUCGCCCACUCAAAAAAGAAAGACAAUCGCUUUCAAAAUAGAAAAGAGUCACACUUCUUGUAAAGUAAUUUUUGCAUGAUUAUUGUUUGGCUCCAUAGGUGGACAAAACACCCGGAUUCUGGAUAUCUUGGAAAGGUUGCUGAGCCGAACGCACGGGCUCUGUCGGAAGGAACCAAGGUUCAUCACCAAACCUCACCAGACACCAGCAACUCGCCUCAGCCUUUUCCACUCUUAUAUCAUUCUGAGUUUCUGAGUUUGACCAAUCAGAAGCACGUCUCAUCGCCGAUUUGCGCGAGCGCCUGACUUGCGAGUUCGUCCUCGAUAAUUCCUCCUUCGCUCUUGGUGACCGGUCAGUUCGCCUGUGCCGGUUGAGGUUGUCCGUUGUCUGGUUCCUUUCCGGUCAGCCUGUGUCGCGGCGAGACCUGCUGGUACUAAAAAACACAAGGAGGACAUGGACCGCAAGGCUACCAGUCUGACAUGCUACUCACCUGAAGGCUGAGAGGGCAGCAGGACGAAGCUUGCAGAUGGUGCAGAUGAUCGUCGCCGUCUGCCGUCGAUGCCGAUGCCACAUAUGGAGUAGCACAUAAUGAAACGAAUCUCCGGUAGGUUUGGCUGGCGUGCUCCCAUUCUGCAGAGGUUUCGUCGUGCCAACCAUGCCGUCAAAUGCAUAGAAAACAGUCGUUGUCAAGACAAACAACAAGUGUAUACUCCCUUUGUAUGUAAAUAUGAGACCUUUUGGGGAUUUCAAUCAGUAUAGACUACAUACGAAGCAAAAUGAGUGAAUCUACACUCUAAAAUGUGUCUAUAUACACCCGUAUGUAGUAUGUAUUGAAAUCUGUAAAAGGUCUUAUAUUUAGAAACAGAAGGAAGGAGUAGAAGAGAAGAGUUACGGCCGUAAUGAGCUUGCAAAAGUUCACCCCUAAUGAAAACUUUGUAAAAAGUUUCUCCGGUGUUCAUCUAAAAAAAAUGAAGGUCCUGCAUUGUCAAUCAAUUUUGUAAUGUAUACUUGCGUGAUUGAGUCAACCAUACCGUCAAAUGUAUAGAAAAGAGUCGUUCAAGACAAAACAAGUGUAGAAAAUAAGUGUUAAAGUCUAGCUUGUAAAGUACUCCCUCUCCCAAAAUAUAAGAACGUUUGUAACACUACACUGGUGUCAAAAACGUUCUUAUAUUGUGGGACGGAGGGAGUACUAAUUUUGUAUAUAGUACUCCCUCCGUCCCAAAAUUUUAUAUUGUGAAAUUCUUGUCUUAGAUUCGUAUCUGAUACAUCCGUAUUUAGACAAAUCUAAGACAAAAAUUCUGGGACCGAGGGAAUAUAUAAUGUACUUCCG
rnacentral:rRNA from 1 species